rnacentral:rRNA from 1 species
GAUGAACGCUGGCGGCGUGCCUAAUACAUGCAAGUCGAGCGAACAGACGAGGAGCUUGCUCCUCUGACGUUAGCGGCGGACGGGUGAGUAACACGUGGAUAACCUACCUAUAAGACUGGGAUAACUUCGGGAAACCGGAGCUAAUACCGGAUAAUAUAUUGAACCGCAUGGUUCAAUAGUGAAAGACGGUUUUGCUGUCACUUAUAGAUGGAUCCGCGCCGCAUUAGCUAGUUGGUAAGGUAACGGCUUACCAAGGCAACGAUGCGUAGCCGACCUGAGAGGGUGAUCGGCCACACUGGAACUGAGACACGGUCCAGACUCCUACGGGAGGCAGCAGUAGGGAAACUUCCGCAAUGGGCGAAAGCCUGACGGGGCAACGCCGCGUGAGUGAUGAAGGUCUUCGGAUCGUAAAACUCUGUUAUUAGGGAAGAACAAAUGUGUAAGUAACUAUGCACGUCUUGACGGUACCUAAUCAGAAAGCCACGGCUAACUACGUG